GACGAACGCUGGCGGCGUGCUUAACACAUGCAAGUCGAACGAGUGGCGAACGGGUGAGUACUACGUGAGUAACCUGCCCUCUUUUUGGGAUAAGCCUUGGAAACGGGGUCUCAUACCGGAUAAAGGGGGAUGGGCUCGCGGCCUAUCCGCUUGUUGGUGGGGUGAUGGCCUACCCAGGCGGUGACGGGUAGCCGGCCUGAGAGGGUGACCGGCCACAGGGGGACUGAGAUACGGCCCAGCCUGCUAAGGGAGGCAGCAGUGGGGGAUAUGGCACAAUGGGCGAAAGCCGGAUGCAGCGACGCCGCGUGGGGGAUGAAGGCUUUCGGGUUGUAAACCUCGUUCGCUAGCGAACGGGUAGGUGGAGAAGAAGCGCCGGCUAACUACGUGCCAGCAGCCGCGGUAAUAC
rnacentral:rRNA from 1 species